AGACACAAAAGCAUCCCUAGAUUGAGGAAGUGGGGCCCUCUCCUAGGAAAGAGUAUCCAAAAAAUCCAGAUCCAGCGGGGGUCCAGUUCGACCUCAUCUUUCCCAGCUCUGAGCAGGAGGCCCCCUGUGGGCUGGGCUGGGCUGGGCUGGAAACGCAGCUCACUGUCUGUGGUCCCCAGGCCGGUAAGCAGGCUGAGAUGUGAAGGACCCUAGGAGAGGGCGCCUCUGGUCUCCAGCCACGGGGGAACUGCUUCCUCUUCUCUCUGGAGCCAACUCUCUGGAGAAAGAGCCUGGAGGAGCCCGACUGCAUCCUGAGCUGGCCAGCAACCCGCGGAAGAGGAGGGGUGCCCCGGGUCCUGGAGAGAACCGUUACCCCAAGGUCUUCUCAAGCCCAAGGACCUUCUGAAUUCUCCAAGGAAAGAAGAAUUGGGGGGUGGAGCUGGAGCGCAGGGGAGGAGUAGGGAAGAAACAAAAAGCCAACUCCGCUGGAAACGCCCCCGGAGGCCGAAGAUGCGCAAGACAACGCCAGAGCCACUGCGCUCCCCAAAGGUGCGCGCCGGACUCAGCUCUCCAGUUGGGCCUCCGUCCCAGAGGAUCGAAGCCGCCUCGACUCCCGGUUUGGGGAGAAAACCCUCAUUCUUAACCCCGUGAUGAUCCCUCCACGGAAAAACACAACAAUUUGAAAAUCAAAAUCAGGGUACAGGCAGACACCUAGGUCCAGCUGCCCAGGCCUGCUAAGGUUACUCUUCGGGGCGCACAGGGUGGCCUGGUCCCCAGAGAUGCACCGGGCAGAAGCCAACGAGACCCCUCAGUCCGCCUCGGCCAGGAGGCGCUUCUUGCGGCUCCAGGACCACCCAGGAUCCCGGGCGUCGGGGGAGCAAUCUGGAAGGAUCUUAGAACAACACCAGGAGAUCGAAACUCUGCUCGCCCCACCUCCCCGCGACGCCCAGGGCGGACUGUUGCGAGCAGACCAAACCUCUCCAAGCUUCGGCCGGGCGGCGGAGGGCGGACAGCAGGAUUCAAACCCGCCUAUGAGUAGUGGGAGUGGCGGGUGGGCAGGACUCGUUUUAAGGAACAGACCGCCUCUUUUCCAGGGCCUGCGGCCCCGAGGUUGCUUCUGACCACUGGGUUUAUUUUGCUUUUGCAGGCGAGGCAGCUGUUGACCUCUCUCCAUUUUUGCUCGGGCCAGACUCUGCGAAAUCUUCCCCCAACCAUUUGCUUUCCUGCGCCACCCCCCACCGGUGCUCAGUUCCCGGGAGUCUACUCCCCAGGCCUUUAAACCUUCUGGAAUGUCACACAUGGAAACCUUUAGCAAAUGUUUGUUAAUGAUCAUAACAAAGGCAUCAUUCAAAUUAGGCAGGUAAUUACUACCAGAAGGACAACUGGGUGCUCACUUGCUCAUCCAUU